CCUUCUCCCUUCGCAUUAUAUAGAACUGGAUCAGGAAUCAAUCCAUUCGGAAUCUGCACCGACGCGCUGUCACAUAUUCUAGUGUGUGAUGCCAGAACCAACACAGUACAUAUGUUAGAUAAGAACGGUCAGUUUCUUUCACUUCUACUGGACUUAAACAUAUCCACACCUCGAUGCCUGGGCUAUGAUUUCAACACUCACCGUCUCUGGGUUGGGUCAGAUCUCAAAAGUAUUGUAUAUGUCAAUAAGUGCAUAGACAAAUACACUGACAGAUGAAUGUCUGUGAUGGGUAUGAUUUGUCCACCCAGGACCAAUGCCAGAAUGGAGAUUGCUUAGAUGUUAACAAUUAAUACAUAUAUAUUUUUUGUACAGAUAUAAUCUCUUGUCAAAACCACACAUUUGGUUUGCCACUUUCUGAAGCUGGCAUUCACCUGUAUGUAAUAUGUAUGGAUAACAAUAAUUAGUCCUGUUUCUGAGCGAAAAAAAAUUAAAUACGUUUAUUUUUGUUAACAUAGAAGAAUGAACCAGAUGAUUAUAUUGUGUAGUGAAAUUAAUGUUUAGUAAUUAAUGAACGAAUGUUAUUUUUUAAUCAAUCUUUAGAAUCAUUUUGCUUUGUUAAACAUGUCAUGAUAUAUAGCAUUAGUCACAAAUUGCCGUUGCUACGGGUUUUACGUACUUGAAGUGAUUGAGAGUGUACAUGUAAAGUAAGGCUAACGAACGUUUGACGUGCCAGUCGUAGAUGUCACGUAAAAUUGUGUUUGGAGACAGGCUGCCACUUUCAACGCGCAAUACUCGUAGGAACCGUACUAUGGUCUUACUAUUUACGUGCAACAAACGUACGCGUGUCUUGAUCACGACAGUAAUACUAUAAGAGUCGUACGUCAUUACAACGGACGUCAUUUGUGCUUUACUACAGCUGCACGGACUAUUUGUUUUUCACAUUAAACUACGAAUAAGUGUUUUUCAUAAGAUAUGUACUGAAUGUUAUCUACUGUUAAAAAGUGAAUAUUAAAAGGUCAAAAGAACUCGG
rnacentral:sRNA from 1 species